GUCUGUGUCAGUGCAUUGUUGCCUCGACUCCUUGCUUCCUGCAUUUUGGUCUACCUUUUUGCUACCAAUGCCACAAAAAUCUGCAAACCCUGACAUAGGCUGAAAAUGUACUGUAAUUAUGACUUCACUACUGAGUUAAGAUACAUCAGAUACACAUGAGCUGGUGUCACAAGUGACUCACUUUGUGUAUCGCUGAUGUUUGUAGAAGCAAUUGCCUACAAGGUGCACAUGAUGAUGAAAAGAACCCUUCGUGGAAAGAUCUCUGUGUGCGAUACUGCUCUGCUGACCCAUGCUGUGAUCAAAUGUGCAGAUGUGCAUCCCGUAAGCGCUUUGACCUUGAGGUUUAUCCUCAUGUGCGCCUUCAAGUUUCAUCUGGUCAUGAGCCCCUGACAAUGGGGAGCGAAAUGAGCCAUGGAAGAAUUAGGAUGGCAGGUGUAAAGGUCAACAGAGUCAUGAUAAAGCAAGAGGACUCACAGAGAGAUGGAAGACCCGGGACUCAGCGGUCUGAGCCAAGACAAGCAAACCAUUAUAGGUAACAGUGGAACCUAUAAACUGGAAUUUUGGCUGCUCAAUGUCACUUGUUCCGAAGGUUAGUGUCAAGUGUUUCCUUUGUACGUUUUACAGUGUUCUUAGUCAGAACACUUAUAAACGUGUUAGAAAAGGGGACACACAAAUGAGGUGGUCAUCCAAGCAUUACAGCCUUGUCAUACGCAUUCCAGGUAGAGUUGAAUAUUGUUUUAUUAGUUUAUUUUAAUUAUAACCGUGGUUAUUUUAUUUUAUGCUUUUUUUCUGUUUGUCUAUUGUUUUU